rnacentral:lncRNA from 1 species
AAAACAGAAAUUACUUUCCAUUGAGGGGGUUGAUAUUGAUUUUCAAAACCAACAACAACAACAACAAUACUUUAUUUUAAGAGGGUUACACAGUUAGCUAUAUAACUAAUCUUCCCUGAGGCCCUCAUCAUGAGAAAUCAAACAAAAUGCAAACAUAAACAUUGCAUACAUUAGUAUAAAAAGUCAAGUAUGAUAAUAAUGUUUAGUACAACUUGAUAAAAUGUGAUGUAAAAAAAAUAAACAUGAUGACAUGA